rnacentral:rRNA from 1 species
UACGGAAGGGGCGAGCGUUGUUCGGAAUUAUUGGGCGUAAAGGGCGUGUAGGCGGCUUCGCAGGUCUGUGGUGAAAGGAUACAGCUCAACUGUAUUGAGCCGCGGAAACGGCGGAGCUUGAGGCUGGGAGGGGCUGGUGGAAUUCCCUGUGUAGCGGUGAAAUGCGUAGAGAUGGGGGAGAACACUCGUGGCGAAGGCGGCCAGCUAGACCAGUUCUGACGCUGAGACGCGAAAGCGUGGGGAGCAAACAGG